rnacentral:lncRNA from 1 species
CUGGUAUGUUGUUAUGGAUUAUAACCAAAGGUAUGUUUCUUUUCGUAAAAUUUUUUCUUUUUUCUUAUAAUAAAAAGUUCUAUUAUUCUUAUUCAAGGCAUAGAUUUCCUUAGCCGUAUUUGGCACAACUGUUUGGAAUUUUGGAUCCUCAAUGCUCUUCAACUUUGUAAUUGUUUGGCUUUAUAAAUAUUUUGAUAUGAGCGUCACUGAUGAGUCUUAUGUAGACGAAACGCGCGUCUGGCGUACUAAAUUAUAAUCCUGGUACCUUUGAUAACUACUAUGAUAGGAUUUUUGAAUCAUUAAUAUGUGAUGAGUGAGAGUACCCAAACAACAAGUUACAGAACAUAAGAAAAGAUUCGAAACGCGCGUAUGGCACAUUAAGUUGAAAGCUUGGUAUCGGUAAAGAGUUUUUUUUACAGUUGAUGUGUUUCACUGGGUUUUAAUUUGUAACCCGGAUUUGUAUUCUCGUAAUCGAUUUAUGACUUUUGAACAGCGGUGUACUACUGUUUCCAUUUUUAUACAACCGGUUCGAAACGAUAACUCCCUUAUCAACUGUCAAAAUCAAAAGUUCAUACACAUCAAACGAAUGGACAACAACUGUCAUAUUCCUAACUUGGUACACGAAUUUCUGAACUUUCAUCCUUGAGGGUAUCACCAACUCAAUUGUUAAUGCUCUUGUGCUGAUAAGAAAUUUUUUUGUAACAUCUUUUACCUUUUUGCAAAGGUUUGAACCAGGAUCUUGAAUUUUUAGUUUUCAAUGGUAUUUAACUUCGUAUUUAAUUUGGCUUUCCAACUAUUUAAUCUAAGUGCCACUGAAAAGCAGCCUUGUGUGAUUAACACCAGUCUACUGUUCUAAAUCAUAAACAUGGUAUAUUUUACGAGGUUUUACAAUAUUUGGUCUAUACUAAUUAUGUUGAACGUUUACGUCCACAAGGGUAUCAUAAACUCAACUGUUAGCAUUCUUAUGGUGACAUGGAAUAUCAUUAAUACGUCAUAUUUGUAAAUUAACUGUUCAGUAAACCUUUUUUUAAAGAAAGUUACGCAAAACGAAAUAUUUGAAGAACAUUACUAUCAGUAGAUGGGUCACUGUAAUCAGUAGCUCUCAUUUGUCUUAUAAACACUUAUUAUUUCAAUACUUUUAUAUUGGUCUUGUGAGACAUUAUAUAACUUGUAUUACAUACUAGUAGCAUGUUGAGCAAAACUAUAUUUUAAAACAAUACAUUGAUGUUCAAUAGUUCUCAAUUACAGAAUUGUUUUAACAGAUUAUGGAAAAAUGUGCAUUUGAUUGGAUCUAUAGGAACUUUAUACUAAUAAUUUGUUUAGUAAGUUAGUAUUUAUUUGUGUUUAUUUGAAUUGGUGUUGUGACUGGUGAUAUUACUUUUUAAUACGAUUUCAUUUUUUUCAUUCGAAAUAUUUUCUUACAUAUGCAAUGAUACAACUGGUUGAAUACAAUGUGUUUUUCAUUUCUGUUUAAUAUAUUAAGUAAUUCUAUAUAAGUAUGAUGCUUCAUAUAAAGUUCUGCAGUAACCAUUAUUCUGUCAGUAUAAAAUUGAUAUCAUAGGAUUUUUUACUAUAAAAGUUUGAAAAGCAACCUUUAAAUAAUCUUUUUUUCACUAAUCUUAGGCUCUUGUGGUUUUCACGAACGACGAAUCUCAACAGUAUAGUUACGGUAUGUGUACAUUUAUAAUAGAAUAAAAAAGCUAUUCAGAGUAAUUGAAUUUUAAUUUGAAAUCAUGUUUUAUCUAUGAUCCGAGGACCCUCAGCUCCAUGUUUGAUCAUGUUUCAUAUCAGAUAGGAAUUUACGGAAAAACAUUCACGUUUAUCAAAGACUUUAAGUACUAUAGUCAAAUAAACUUGGUGGAGUGAAAGGGUGUGUGGUGGUUAUGGGUCCUAUGAUCCGGACUAUAAAUCAGUUCCAGAUCUACAUGUGGCUUCAGUCGUGUUGAUCAUGCAAGAAAAACAUCCGGUUAAAAAUCUCAUUCGGUCAUACUUAAAUCGAGGUAUAGAGAAAGGGAUUGUGAUUCCGGGAUAUGGACAUAUCCAUGGUCAUCUGUGACACAGAUAUUGCAUAACAUCCAUCGAAAUUCAAAUUCAUGAUAAGAAUUGGAAUAUAUAUAAUACACUUUUAAUAAUAUAAAAAUUGUAGUCUUAUUCAUUUCGAAUUAAUUAUUAUUUAGGUUUUUAAUUUGCUUAAUUAUGAUAUCUAUCGAUGACUGCUUUGCAAUAAUAGAUAUUUGAAACACUUAUAUACAAACGAUUCCUGAAAAUUGGCACUUCAUGAUAUCUGUGUCUGGCUAUCUGUAUGCGUAUUUACAAUAAGAUCGGAAGUUCCUUGUUUUAUUAACUCACAGUUUUGUACGUUCGAUCAGUUUGACUUAGUUUUAUGAGACAUUUCUUCGGAUAUACUAUAAUGUUUGGAUACACAUGUACCAAGUGUCCAUUCUUACCAUUAUCACAUUUUCAUAUCUAGACAGGUUGCCGUGCGAAAAGAGUGAAGUGAAGAAAUGACAUUUUAUAUGAAUUUCUACUAUGCAAACAUAUGGCUGAGCCCAGUAGUCAGCACUUCUGUGUUGACUUGAGUUAUCAUUGCUUUUUUCAUAAUUAUAAAUUAACUGUUAACAAAAUUUUGAAUUUUUGAAAAACUAAGGCUUUUCUAUCUCAGGAAUAGACUACCUUAGCUGUAUUUUGCCAAACUUUUAGGAAUUUUUGGUCUUCAAUGCUCUUCAACUUCGUACUUUAUUUGGCCUUUAAAACAUUUCUUGAUUCGAGCGUCACUGAUGAAUCUUUUGUAGAGGAAACGCGCGUCUGGCGUACCUAUAAAAUUUUAAUCCUGGUAUCUAUGAUGAGUUUAUUUGAAUUCAUUAGUCAUUAAUUUAGGCAAUAUCCCUUCAUCAUAAAUUAGUAAAAUCUAAACUUCUACCCUAUUUAAAAAAAAAUUCCCAAUACCACAUCUAUUGUUAAUAAAAUACAUAACUACAAAUAUGCAAGAUCUCGAUGUUGACGACUUUAAAUCUAAGACACCAGAUUGUGAAAGUUUUCCAUUAUACAUAAUUAUACGUAAUUCAAAGUUACAACUAGUGACCUACACAUUGUCAAGAUCAUUUCUUUGUGAAAUUUGUUAGCCAAAGUGCCGAAAUAGCUUAAGUCUUGAAUCUAAAUUUAUGAAGUGGAAACACAAAUUUAAAAUAUUGUUUUAUUCAGCAAAAGAUUACGUCAGGCAAUAAGAUAUGUGAUUGAUAUUAGUGAAUAAAUGAGUUAAGACUGUGAGGUUGCUUAUAAAAAUCAAAAGCAAAUACUUAAUUGGUCUUCUGUGCUAUAUCUUCAAGUAACUACAUAGUGCUACGUAAUUCUCCUUCCUCAUAGACUAAUAUGUCAUUUUCCUGACUUGGUACAGAACAUUCUAAGAAAAAAAAAUUAGUUGGUUGAACCUGGUUUUGAGGCUAACGAAACCUAGUGCUAUAAACGGUACCAACUGUAAUGCACCAGAUCCGAUGUCGAUAAAAACUUGUUUCUUCAGUGAUGUUCGAGGCCAAUAUACUAGAAUUUCCAAAAUCUUACCAAAAGGACAUAAAAAUAGCUAAAUUUGGACAAGGAAUCACAGGCUUGCUUUAGGAAGACAUAUUCCAUAAUAAAUAAUCUAAAAAAAAUAAUACAAAAACAAAUCUUAAUAAAACAAUAUCCAAAGUUCAUGCCAGUACUGGUAAUCUGGUAAUGGUAGACCCAUUAAGACUAAUAGUCCUUUAGAAGAGGUAUCAAACCCAGUGGUAGUAUUAGCAUAACCGGUACGCAUUUCGACAAAAAAGUCUCUUCUGUAACUUCACCACUAGGUAAAUAGUAUGAUAUUGACCUAAUACGAUAUAUAUGGGAUCAGUAAAUUCCAUAUUGAUUGAGCCCGAAGCUUCCGGUGAUAACUAAAAAUGGAUGAUAUACAGUUGUAAUUCUACCGAAGUAGAUUUAUCACCAAAUUAUCGAAACACGACAGGUGCUACAUAAUCUGCAUACCCUUCCGAAAUACCUGACGUCACAAGUGGUUAUUGUUGAGGUACGCGUUGUUCAAUCUUUUGUUGUGUUUUGUAGACUGUCAUAUGACUUUCGCUCGAUUUUCUUUAUUUUUACCAAGAUGUCAGUUUGUCAUCGUUUUAUGAAUUUGUUUAACCCUUUAGUAUCUUUUGCGUGCCUCUCUUUGAUAAAUGGUGUCCUGUCACUGAAUAAUUUAAAAACAAGUUACUAUUUAGAAUAACAAUAUUGUUACUACUCUCAUUGCAAUCAUUUUAUCCCAUUGAACUUGAAAUGAAGGAUAUCAAUUUAACGAUACUAUAACGUUUGCUGCAUAUCUUGACUUGCAUCUAGAAAUUGACAAGGAAGAUCAGCAGAGAACUUAACUCUACUAGAAAAAAGAUCGUUUUAGUUUUUAUUUUCAGUUGUGAAAUUUCCAUCUGUAGUGCAGCUGGGCAUAUAAAGUAUGCUAGUAUAUCUCCAAGUUGAAACAAUAUUUCAAAUCUUCUGUUUGCUUCCAACUUUUCCCUGAUAGCGGAUCGCUAUGUACGAGGAAGUUUUCAAACCAACGGUUUUAUAUAUUGUUUAGAUGAAAUGAAUUGAAUGGUCUGUAUAAAAUAUCGACUGCAAUUGUCCUAGAUGUCGUGGACAAAAUACCGUCCUCAUUUAUCCGAUAACGACAUCAUCUGCAUCUUUUUUUACUUGUAGUGUUUUUGUUUAUAAUAUAUUCGUCAUUUUUAAAAUGUUUUUUGGUACUUGUUAUCUAUUUUUUAUUUUCCCCAAGUAUCUUCCUGCCAUUUUUAAAGAAACGUAUAUUUUUUCAUUCUGUUUUGUAUAAUUUCAAGAAUGCAACGAAAACGGAGACAUAACAUUACUAGGAUUAUUGCAAAAUUCACUAGUGACUACCAAAGAAGUAACUUAUAAAAAAGGAUCGUCAGUCUUUCCAAACUGCAAUUUUACAGCAGAUCAAUAUGGUCAUGUGAUAAUCAAUAGAAGUUGUACAAAUGAUAUUACAGAACUG